rnacentral:lncRNA from 1 species
GCUGACUAGCUACAGACCCUCAGGGCUCAGCUGGGAGGGAUUUAUUGGAGAAUUUCAAUCAUGGGGUCUUGGCUCAAACUUGUUGCUUCCCUCAAAAAAAUCUGCCCAGAGGUUUGAUUACAUGUGGGAUUGGGGCACAGGGGGCCAGUCUGAUGAUCACGCAAUUCAGAAUUCCACCUGGGCCUCUGGGAGUGUUGCAGCCCCGAGAGGAAGAGAAGAGGACACAGGACAGCCAGCGAGAUGCGGGUUCUGGCAUGAUGUGGAGUGGAAAUCUUGGACGCCUAGUGACAUAUUUCUACCCAGGAAGAAUUUUGAAUUCUGAAGGUACACUUGAUUAAAACCCCAAACCGUGAGCAGUUGCCGAUGGAACCACCCGACACUUUGACUUCUGGGUGUCGCUUAAUUAAAAUAUUCACCCAGCUGCUCUUCCCUUGCCAAGGGGGCCCAAAGGAAUUAAACCAAUAAGCUUAAUUCUGUCAGGUCACCUGCCUGUGUAUACAGAGACAUGGAAGACCAUUUACCAGUUCAGAAAUAAAGUGUCAGAUCCGCCCAGCAAAGCCAACGUGGACCACACAGUGACCCAGUCCCCCAGAUGGACAGCAUCACCCUCUGCCAUCUCCGUUUCCAACUUGGAACACACGCGGCUAUUUUUAAGGCCUCUUCCAGUACGACCAGAAUGACACACUGGUCAAUACAAGGAUUACUUUGCC